AACAGGUAUUCUUAAGCAUGUACUUAGUUUAACCUCUCUUGGAAAAACUACCAUUUAACAAAAACCUAGCCAAUCAACAUGUGAGUCAAAAUAAAAUACAGAGGAAUGGAGAAGCCAGAGUAAAAGGAUUGAUUGACUGUGCUGAAAACCUAAGGUGGGCACAGGUGGCCCAGAGCAUGAGAGGAGGCCCGUUUCCCAGCUGACUCCAGCAGGGCCCAGGCGUGCUCAGCUGCUCUCCCUAGCCCACAGAAAGAGUCUAUGUUUGUUCUCCUCUCCUAUUAAAAUGGCAGUAAACAUAUCAAUUCUGAACAGUACACCAAAAUAGGUUUCCUGGAGCUUACGGCACUGGCCUGUGACUCUCAGAACAUGAAACAAACCUGUUGAAGGCCCACAGAUCAUUUGCAUGGAAAAUGUUUAUUAAGAAUUUCCAGGAACUGGGGCACCUGUGUGGCUCAGUCAGCUAAGCAUCUG